rnacentral:RNase_P_RNA from 1 species
UAAGUAGCCUAAAUGAUCGCUGGAUAUUUAUAGUAUCUGGAGGAAAGUCCGAACACCGCAAGGCAGGACGCUUCAUAACGUGAAGUCGUGGUGACGCGAAGGAAAGUGCAGCAGAAAAUAUACCGCCUAAUGGUUUAUGACUUAUUGGGUAAGGGUGAAAAGGUGCGGUAAGAGCGCACCAGUUUUUCAGGUGACUGAAGAGCUUGGCAAACCCCGUCCGGUGAAAGACCAAAUAGAGGAGUGUUUGAAGGCAGCCUGCCUAAGCUCCCGGGUAGGUCGCAAGAGAUAGAUAGUAAUAUAUAUCCUCAAGAUGAAUGAUCAUUACUAACCAAGGAGUAAUCCUUUUUUAGCACAAAAUUCGGCUUAUUGGCUGCUUAGACC